GUAUUAAAAAAAAAAAAAACCCUAAAUCUAUCGCCAGAACAGGAGCCGUCGCCCCCUCAGAAAAAUAACCUCACCCUCGUUUCUCUUUCCUCUACCAGACCAACCUCCAUCGUUUCCCUUCUCCUUCUCCAUUGAUUCCAGCCGCCAACCCUAAAAACAUAAACAGCACAGAACAGAUCCACCAUCUUCCCUCUCUGUUACCGAUCCCAAAGACCAGCCACACACUGUCCCUUUCCCUGUGUAGCAGCAUCUCCUUCCCCCAUCAGCAGCGUCUUCUUCUCCCUCGGAAGACUACCAACAGCAACGGAGAAGCAGCACCCGCAGACCCAGCAACCAAUUUCCUUCACCACCAGCCGCAGCAGUGCCGCCCCCCUUUUCCCAGCAGGGGUGCCCUUGUCUUGAUAUGAUUUCAGAUUGGUUAAGCAAAAUAGUACUUAUAAAGAACUUGAAGAACCGCUUUUAAUUUAAGGUGAACUAUAUUUAUAAUUUUUUUUACUAUUUUUAUUUUUUAUUGCUUGAUUCAAACAGCAUAUUUGUUAUUUAUUUAUUAAAAUUAUGAGAAAAACGUUUACUGGAAAGUUUAAUCUCUUCCAUGAAUUUUAUGCUAUCAUUUUAGUUAUUUAUUUUCCCUCAUUAUUAUUUCUAAACCAUUCUUUUCUUUUAGAUUUUUUUGUUCUUUCCUGUUUGCUUAAGUAAACCCGUAACUAUACAUGUGACUAUACACACUUGAAGAACCUCCAUGUAAACUAUAUUUUUUUUCCAUUUUGUUUUUAAUUACUUGAUUCUUUCAAGCAGCGGUGAUUUUUUAAUAUUUUUUAAUUAAGUUUUUUUAUAAUAAGAAAUCAUUAUUCACCAAUAUUUAAAGGAUUUGCUACUGCUGAGUAAUGUUCCAUGCUAAUUAAGUUUUCUAUUAUAUAUAUUUUAAUUAAACUGAUUUAAAAAUUAAAUUAAAAUUAUCAAACCUAAAUUAAAAAAAAAAAACACAUGCGAUUUGCAUUGUGGUUGUGACAGUAUGCAAUUACCUCCCUACUUUGAAAAUAGGGAGGUAAUUGCAUAGCUCAAAAUGACUGUAACCUUUUUUUACAUGUAAUAAAUUAAUCAAAACUUACUUGUAAUGAAAAAUAGAAUAAAAGUACAACUGAAUCCAACCCCUUUUUUGCCUUUAUAAACACUUUAACUUAUUGCAAGAUAUAUAUACAGAGAGAGUAGCUCAAAAUUGUAAUUGGUAAGGAAAUACCACCCAACUAUAACAAAUCCUUUAAAUAUUUAUGGAUCGUGAAUUCUUAUUAUGAAAAAAUCUUAAUUGAAUAAGAAGCAAACAAUACAAACCUUAGUAACUAAUUUAAUUAACCAUGUUUUACUUGGAAGAAUCACGCAAUAAAAAAAAAAAAGAUAAAACAAAAAAAAGAUUUAUAAUUUACCUUGACGUGUUGCCUUCAAAAA